AUACUUACCUGGCAGGGGAAAUUCCAUGAUCACGAAAGUGGUUUUCCCAGGUCGAGGCUUAGCUAUUGCACUCCAGAUGUGCUGACCCCUGCGAUUUCCCCAAAUGUGGGAAACUUGAAUGCAUAAUUUGUGGUAGUGGGGGACUGCAUUCACACACACACACA
ensembl:snRNA U1 U1 spliceosomal RNA